rnacentral:lncRNA from 1 species
CUUUUUUUUUUUUUUUUUUUUUUUUGUAUUCUCUUCAUGGAAGCCCAGCCCCUUCAAAUAUUCAGUAACCCCCAAGAAUCCUGGAAUAGGCUCUGUUGAAGAACAUCACCUCUGAGCCAGAUCGAUCUGGUUGCUGCUUCUGUGAAGCAGCAGCAAGGAGAGGAGCGAGGAGCCUGGCCUAGGGUAAGAAACACAAACGCACCUGCUUAUGAAUUCUGUUUUAAAAAUAAUAAAGUGACCUGUCUCUUCUUGCUGCUUCCUGGCCUUUCCCCUGCUGUUGAGGCACACACAAGGUGGUGUUGAGGCAGACACAGUCAUGUCAUGCAAAUAACAAAUCCUUAACAUCUGGGGAUGGGCGUGGAGCUCUGAGAAUACAUUGAAGGUAAAAUAAUGCCCAAAGUAGACUCUCACAGAUGAUACUGAACUUCUAGUAAUUUCCUGUCCAUCAUAAUAUCAGAUCAGGCUGGCUGGUUUGUCUCCCGACCUUUCUGCCUUUACAUUUUCCUGGCGAUCAUGUGCGCACACACACACACAGUGCCAGGUUAGGGAAUGUUAUUGCAAAAGGAGCAAGGAAGGAACAGAAAACACUUCUACUUUUGUCAGUAUUUGCUUUCUUGGAGCAUAGGGAGGGAGGCAGUGUGGACUAGUGGUUGGUAACCUGCGCUUCAGCCUCAGAUGGGCCAGGUUCGAGGCAGAGUACUGGCCCCGUUACUAAGAUUGGGGAAGUUCUGCGUCCACGAUGCAGGAUCUGGGAGAAAAAAGACUUUGUACUAAAUGAAAAUGUGGCAUAUUAAGGGCUUCACUGGGUGCCUGAAUGUUAGGGAGGGGGGGAGAGAGAGAGAGAGAGAGAGAAAGAGAGAGAGGAAAUGGUCAAUGUCUGCUUUUGGUUUUGGUUUUUGCUUUUGUUUUUACAACAUCAUAGACACAGACUUGGUUGAGACAAGGGGUGUGGGAUGAGGAGAAAAGCAAAGCUGUCAUUCCUUAUACAUCGUUCAUGGGCCGGACGACUGGAGAACACAUGACAGCCUGACCAGAGGUCCAGAGCAGCUUAGCAGAGCCGGCCAUCACACAGAGCCCAGCGUCACACGUCGUCAGCAGCAGAGAAGGAACUCAAGUUUAGAUCUGACUCCAAAGCUCUCAUUCCUUCAAGGUUACUGUGCUGUGUGCUGAGACGAGGCCAUGCCGGCUCACGUAAAAAGCAACCGGGUAUUUGCUGCUCUGGGCUGCAAUGUAGACUCUGGCACUUACAAGUAUGUAGUUUUUAUUUUUAAUAAAGAUUUUAUUUAUUUAUUUGACAGAGAGAGCGAGAGAGAGCACUAGUACAGGGGAGUGGCAGGGAGAGGGAGAGGGAGAGGGAGAGGGAGAGGGAGAAGCAGGCUCCCUGCUCAGCGAUGGGACUCAGUCCCAAGACCCCGGGACCAUGACCUGAGCCGAAGGCAGAGGCUUAACUGACUGAGCCACCCAGGCAUCCCUAGAAGUGUCUAGCUUACUACUUUAUUUGUUGUGCUGUGUUGUUGUUUCCAGUCUUAAACGCUGGUGGCCUUGCCUUCGACUGCUUGCCAGUUUCAUGACACUGUGCAAAUUAAUUCACUUGAACCUCAGUUUCCACAUCUCUAGAAAGGGAUGACAGUCCCUUCUAAGUGGGGGUUAAGUUACUUUUAGGAUGCCUAGUUCUAGCACAUAGUAGAGGCUCAAAUAUACAUUCACUGUAUUACCACUCUUCACAAACACACAAACACCUAAAUCGGACAGGGGAGCCACAGGUAGACCAUGUACACCAAAUCCAGGUGGGUUACAAUCCCACGUGUGUUGCAGAGUCAUGGAGAUGAUGUUCAGAACCUUUCAGAUGAACGUGAGUAGCCUCUCAGUGGCCCCCCCCACCCAGACCAGCUUUGGGCCUCCCCUCCUCGCCAUUCUACAGCUUACCUUCAACCUUUGCCCUCCAAAUAAAGUAGAUACUUGACUUUUUUGGGUGAAGGCAGACUUCCUAUAAAUCUGCGCCUGUUUUCUUGCUCACCGAACCUUCAAGCAAUGAGCAUCAGCCUUAUUGACAAACUGCACACACCUUUCAAAAAAUAGAACAAACAGGUAUGAAACAGAAACUUGUUCAGGACAAAAAACAAAAACAAAAAAGAAAAAACAACCAAAAAAACAACCCACAAAAAAAAAAAAAAAAAAAAA